rnacentral:rRNA from 1 species
UCGAGCGAGAAAGUGGAGCAAUCCAUGAGUACAGCGGCGUACGGGUGAGUAACACGUGGGUAAUCUACCUCUUAGUGGGGAAUAACCCUGGGAAACCGGGGCUAAUACCGCAUAAGCCUGAGAAGGGAAAGCGGCAAUGCGCUGAGAGAGGAGCCCGCGGCCGAUUAGCUAGUUGGUGAGGUAAAGGCUCACCAAGGCGGUGAUCGGUAGCCGGCCUGAGAGGGCACACGGCCACACUGGCACUGAAACACGGGCCAGACUCCUACGGGAGGCAGCAGUGGGGAAUCUUGCACAAUGGAGGCAACUCUGAUGCAGCGACGCCGCGUGAGCGAUGAAGCCCUUCGGGGUGUAAAGCUCUUUCGGCAGGGACGAUAAUGACGGUACCUGAAGAAGAAGCUGCGGCUAACUACGUGCCAGCAGCCGCGGUAAUACGUAGGCAGCGAGCGUUGUUCGGAAUUACUGGGCGUAAAGAGUGUGUAGGCGGUGCUCUAAGUUCGGUGUGAAAUCUCCUGGCUCAACUGGGAGGGUGCGCCGGAAACUGGAGUGCUUGAGCGUGGGAGAGGAAAGCGGAAUUCCUGGUGUAGCGGUGAAAUGCGUAGAUAUCAGAAGGAACACCUGUGGUGUAGACGGCUUUCUGGACCAUAGCUGACGCUGAGACACGAAAGCGUGGGUAGCAAACAGGAUUAGAUACCCUGGUAGUCCACGCCCUAAACGAUGCAUACUUGGUGUCGGCCAUUCAGUUGGUCG